CGGACGGGUGAGUAAUGUCUGGGAAACUGCCUGAUGGAGGGGGAUAACUACUGGAAACGGUAGCUAAUACCGCAUAACGUCGCAAGACCAAAGAGGGGGACCUUCGGGCCUCUUGCCAUCGGAUGUGCCCAGAUGGGAUUAGCUAGUAGGUGGGGUAACGGCUCACCUAGGCGACGAUCCCUAGCUGGUCUGAGAGGAUGACCAGCCACACAGGAACUGAGACACGGUCCAG
rnacentral:rRNA from 1 species